GCUGAUAAGAAGUUAGAGGAUGGUCACUCAGAAUCAGAGCGCUGGCGGCUGGGAAGAGACCCAAGAGGUCGCUUAGCUAGUUGCCCCCUCCGUGUCACAGAACGAAAUCUCUUACAAACAGGGGAAAUCACUGCCUGCCCCGAAGAGGGAGGCAGGGAGACGCCUACGCCUCUGUUCAUUUGUCCCACAUUUAAAGGAGAGUGAGCUGCGUAAUGAAGAUCUUCAUGAUCUUCAUAAUCUCGAGCGGUCCUAUGAAGACGUACGGGGAAAAAAAACAAAAAUGAAAAAAUAAAGUCUUUUCAAAGCCGGC
rnacentral:lncRNA from 1 species